AUUGAACGCUGGCGGCAGGCCUAACACAUGCAAGUCGAGCGGAUGAAGGGAGCUUGCUCCUGGAUUCAGCGGCGGACGGGUGAGUAAUGCCUAGGAAUCUGCCUGGUAGUGGGGGAUAACGUCCGGAAACGGGCGCUAAUACCGCAUACGUCCUGAGGGAGAAAGUGGGGGAUCUUCGGACCUCACGCUAUCAGAUGAGCCUAGGUCGGAUUAGCUAGUUGGUGGGGUAAGGGCCUACCAAGGCGACGAUCCGUAACUGGUCUGAGAGGAUGAUCAGUCACACUGGAACUGAGACACGGUCCAGACUCCUACGGGAGGCAGCAGUGGGGAAUAUUGGACAAUAGGCGAAAGCCUGAUCCAGCCAUGCCGCGUGUGUGAAGAAGGUCUUCGGAUUGUAAAGCACUUUAAGUUGGGAGGAAGGGCAGUAAGUUAAUACCUUGCUGUUUUGACGUUACCAACAGAAUAAGCACCGGCUAACUUCGUG
rnacentral:rRNA from 1 species